rnacentral:tRNA from 1 species
GUCCUUGUAGCGCAACGGAAAGCGCGUUGGACUUCUAUUCCAAAAGUGGUGGGUUCGAAUCGCACUUGGGAUG